rnacentral:tmRNA from 1 species
GGGGAUGCAAGGCAUAGACAGUUGGCCUAUCUUCAUUGAUGCAUACUGAGCACGGACGUAAUCUCAUAAAACUUCGUUCAAACUCUAAUUGCAAAAUUAGGACUUAAAGCAAAAGUUUCUCCAUACUUUAGUAUGAAGAAUUUUCUUGCUCCAGCAUACGCUUUAGCGUAACUGGCGUCUAACCCAUAGACUUCCGAUAUAUGGUGUUGGGUGUAAUAUUAUCGGGAUAAGUUUGAAGAUUUUCCGCCUUCAGAAUUAAAAUCAAGGAAUCGAUUUAAAAAUAUUUUGUCUAUUUCUUAAUUUUUCAAUUUAAACAAAAAAAUAGAAUAAGUAUGUAGACUUCCUUGGAAUAACCUUCUGCACGAGGAUUCAAUUUCCUCCAUCUCCACAA